AGAACGAACGCUGGCGGCAUGCCUAACACAUGCAAGUCGAACGCUUUUGGGGCUUCGGUCCCAAAGGAGUGGCGCACGGGUGAGUAGCGCGUGGGAACCUGCCCUGUUGUGGGGGAUAACCGAGGGAAACUUCGGCUAAUACCGCAUACGCCCGGGGGAAACUCCGGGGAAAGAUUUAUCGCAGCAGGAGGGGCCCGCGUCGGAUUAGGUAGUUGGUGGGGUAACGGCCCACCAAGCCUGUGAUCCGUAGCUGGUCUGAGAGGAUGAUCAGCCACACUGGGACUGAGACACGGCCCAGACUCCUACGGGAGGCAGCAGUGGGGAAUAUUGGACAAUGGGCGCAAGCCUGAUCCAGCAAUGCCGCGUGAGUGAUGAAGGCCUUCGGUUGUAAGCUCUUUCGCACGCGACGAUGAUGACGGUAGCGUGAGAAGAGCCCGGCUACUUCGCGCCAGCAGCCGC
rnacentral:rRNA from 1 species